CAACAGCGCUGGUUCCCAAGAAGUUUGCAUCCAGUUUAUAGGAAGACAAAAACACGAACCGGCCUCCGUGAACCAUCACGGACUCGACACAUACCACCGGAUUAGACGAGAAAAGAGAAAAGAAAUUCCUCGGACAAGAUGGACGAGAUUCUCUUAAUCAGACUUCGAAUCACCAGUGAAAAAAUUGGUGCUGAAUUGGAAACAAUACCCAGUACGGUUCGGUCAGAAAACAUAGGACAGGCUCAGGUCGUCUAUAACAGACUGCAAGCUGCAGUGAAUAGGCUCAACGCUAAUUUAUCAGAA